GUGGGGAAUAUUGGACAAUGGGGGGAACCCUGAUCCAGCCAUGCCGCGUGUGUGAAGAAGGCCUUUUGGUUGUAAAGCACUUUAAGCGAGGAGGAGGCUACCGAGAUUAAUACUCUUGGAUAGUGGACGUUACUCGCAGAAUAAGCACCGGCUAACUCUGUGCCAGCAGCUGCGGUAAUACAGAGGGUGCAAGCGUUAAUCGGAUUUACUUUGCGUAAAGCGCGCGUAGGUGGCUAAUUAAGUCAAAUGUGAAAUCCCCGAGCUUAACUUGGGAAUUGCAUUCGAUACUGGUUGGCUAGAGUAUGUGAGAGGAUGGUAGAAUUCCAGGUGUAGCGGUGAAAUGCGUAGAGAUCUGGAGGAAUACCGAUGGCGAAGGCAGCCAUCUGGCCGAAUACUGACACUGAGGUGCGAAAGCAUGGGGAGCAAACAGGAUUAGAUACCCCGGUAGUCC
rnacentral:rRNA from 1 species